rnacentral:tRNA from 1 species
AGCGGGGUAGAGCAGUCAGGUAGCUCGCCAGGCUCAUAACCUGGAGGUCAUUGGUUCAAAUCCAAUCCCCGCUACCA